rnacentral:rRNA from 1 species
AACGAACGCUGGCGGCAUGCCUAACACAUGCAAGUCGAACGAGACCUUCGGGUCUAGUGGCGCACGGGUGCGUAACGCGUGGGAACCUGCCCUUAGGUUCGGAAUAACUCCCCGAAAGGGGUGCUAAUACCGGAUGAUGUCUUCGGACCAAAGAUUUAUCGCCUUUGGAUGGGCCCGCGUUGGAUUAGCUAGUUGGUAGGGUAAAAGCCUACCAAGGCGACGAUCCAUAGCUGGUCUGAGAGGAUGAUCAGCCACACUGGGACUGAGACACGGCCCAGACUCCUACGGGAGGCAGCAGUGGGGAAUAUUGGACAAUGGGCGAAAGCCUGAUCCAGCAAUGCCGCGUGAGUGAUGAAGGCCUUAGGGUUGUAAAGCUCCUUUACCCGGGAUGAUAAUGACAGUACCGGGAGAAUAAGCUCCGGCUAACUCCGUG